rnacentral:misc_RNA from 1 species
GAUGAAGAACGUAGCGAAAUGCGAUAAGUAAUGUGAAUUGCAGAAUUCAGUGAAUCAUCGAAUCUUUGAACGCACAUUGCGCCCUCUGGUAUUCCGGGGGGCAUGCCUGUUCGAGCGUCAUUAUAACCACUCAAGCUCUCGCUUGGUAUUGGGGUUCGCGGUUCCGCGGCCCCUAAAAUCAGUGGCGGUGCCUGUCGGCUCUACGCGUAGUAAUACUCCUCGCGAUUGAGUCCGGUAGGUCUACUUGCCAGCAACCCCCAAUUUUUACAGGUUGACCUCGGAUCAGGUAGGGAUACCCGCUGAACUUAAGGAUAUCAAUAAGCGGAGGA